rnacentral:rRNA from 1 species
UGGGGAAUAUUGGGCAAUGGGCGCAAGCCUGACCCAGCAACGCCGCGUGAAGGAGGAAGGCUUUCGGGUUGUAAACUUCUUUUAAGGGGGAAGAGAAGAAGACGGUACCCCUAGAAUAAGCCACGGCUAACUACGUGCCAGCAGCCGCGGUAAUACGUAGGUGGCAAGCGUUGUCCGGAUUUACUGGGUGUAAAGGGCGUGUAGCCGGGUCUGCAAGUCAGAUGUGAAAUCCAUGGGCUUAACCCAUGAACUGCAUUUGAAACUGUGGAUCUUGAGUGCUGGAGGGGCAAUCGGAAUUCCUAGUGUAGCGGUGAAAUGCGUAGAU